UUGUUAUAUGGAGAGAGGGAAGGUUACCAUUCCCCUUGACAAGGGCCUAACACACACAUACAGGUAAAGCAUGGCCACCUACUUAGUGGCAUCUACUGCUCUUU
rnacentral:ncRNA from 1 species